ensembl:lncRNA
GGGCUUUUUCAGCGGUGGCUGCCUGCUGGAGGAUGGCCUUUGCGGUACAUCGGAGGCCUGUGUAAACGAUCAUCUACAUCUAAAAUGCGGAUGACGGCACUUUUCUGAAGGUGGAUGAAAGUGAUCACGAAGGGUCUGUACAGGACCUGGCACCCAGGGGACGUUUGCCAUGUGACACAGCCACUGUGCGGAAGGUGAUGGUGAUGGUGGCCAUGGUAGUGACGGCUGGGACAGUGACGGUGGCAGUGAGGCUGAGGAUGGUGCGACGAUGCCGACAAUGGCCGUGCUAGUGGCUGUGGCAGUGAUGAGAGUGGUGACGAUGAUGGUGAUGGCGAGCAUGGGAGGAAGGAAAGGUGGGGACGCAGCCUUCCUGGCCCUCGGACACCGACCUCUCAAGGACCUGGGUGUCGGGGGCCUGGCCUGUCGGUGAUGCCCGCGUGACCAGGUUCCCCGGGGAAUGGGGCUGGCUCCAGAUGGACCUCAUGCCUCCCCACUUGGCCGGGCUUACAGUCCUUCAGUAGGACGUGAUUUCAGCUGCAGCCAGGCUGGGGAAGCAGAGGAUUUCUAAGGCCCUUCCUUAGCUCAGGUAGUUUGAGAGUCCAGGCCUAGACCACUGCUCCACCAGCACACGCCAUGGAGCCAGUCCUUCGUGCUUAGCAGGACGAAUUGCACCCCAUGUUGCUGGUGCAUCAAAUCAGGUUGCUCUUACCUUGACAUCUCUUCAGUUAAGCUGAGAUGUGGGCGGAUUUGCCUCAAGGGACCCAGUCGCGACCUUGAACUCAUCCUGCAGUUUCCCAGGCCCUGGGUACAGUAAGAGGCAGCUCAGAGUUGUCCAGCCUUGAGCUGCUUGUCCUUUCAGUGUAUGAAAAUGCCCUUGGGUUAUCAGGAGACUUCACGUGAGGAAUGGAGGCCACAAAGACAGGACAUUCCUCUCUGAAACUCUCCUGCUUGGGAAUCUGCUCUCAGAGCCACUCUGGGAGAUGCUCUCUGUUCCUAAAUAGUUUUUAGCCAGCUGUUCUGGCUUGAAGUGGGUGAUGCAUUACUUUCCUCAACAUUGGAAUCUGCUUGACCAAGUGCAUUGGGGGAAGGAAGCUGGAUUAUGCCUGGACUGACCCAGAGGAGCUUCCAGGACAGAGCCAGACAUUCUCAGCAAACUGUAUCACUGUUUGUCAACUCACGAGCCUCCUCCCCAGACAGCUCAAUGCUCAGUGACCCUCAUGCUCAGGAGGAAGCCACCACAGAGGAGGGUGGCAUGGACCAGCAGUCUAGGACGAGAGUUCUUCCC